rnacentral:rRNA from 1 species
ACGUGAGCAACCUGCCCUGGACUCUGGGAUAAGCGCUGGAAACGGCGUCUAAUACUGGAUAUGAGACGUGAUCGCAUGGUCGUGUUUGGAAAGAUUUUUCGGUCUGGGAUGGGCUCGCGGCCUAUCAGCUUGUUGGUGAGGUAAUGGCUCACCAAGGCGUCGACGGGUAGCCGGCCUGAGAGGGUGACCGGCCACACUGGGACUGAGACACGGCCCAGACUCCUACGGGAGGCAGCAGUGGGGAAUAUUGCACAAUGGGGGAAACCCUGAUGCAGCCAUGCCGCGUGUGUGAAGAAGGCC